rnacentral:rRNA from 1 species
UCAGACGAUGCGUCAUGCAUAUCAAUAAGCGGAGGAAAAGAAACUAACAAGGAUUCCCCUAGUAACGGCGAGUGAAGCGGGAAGAGCUCAAAUUUGAAAUCUUAAAGGGUUUCCCUUUACGAAUUGUAGUUUAAAGAAGUGUUUUCUGUUGAGGUUUUGGUAAAAGUUCUUUGGAAUAGGACAUCAUAGAGGGUGAGAAUCCCGUAUUUGACCUUUACUUUCAACUUUGUGAUACACUUUCAAAGAGUCGGAUUGUUUGGGAAUGCAGUCCAAAAUGGGUGGUAAAUUUCAUCUAAAGCUAAAUAUUGGCGAGAGACCGAUAGCGAACAAGUACCGUGAGGGAAAGAUGAAAAGAACUUUGAAAAGAGAGUUAAACAGUACGUGAAAUUGUCAAAAGGGAAGCGUUUGACACCAGUGUUGUUUUUCUGAAAAUCAAUUAAAGAAUUGUUUAUGCUAAGCUGUUUAGACUUUAUCAGCUAUCUGUUUAGUUUUGAGCUUUUCUUUAAUGCACUUUUCAGUUAACAAGUCAACAUCAAUUUCUUUUGCUGUAAAAAAGCUUGAGGAAGGUGGCUUGAGAUUCGUCUUAAGUGUUUAUAGCCUCUUGCCUAUGCAGUCGGAGAGAUUGAGGUCUGCAGCGUAGAUCCUUCGGGGCUAAAUGCAUUUGUGCUAAGUUAUAACAUUUUAUAGACAACUUGUUGACUAUGAUUUGUCUUGUAGCUUACUCGCUUAUGUUAUUUUACCUACGCUUAGGAUGUUGAAUCUGUGCGAGACUAC